rnacentral:lncRNA from 1 species
GGAGCACUGAACUGGGUGAGGAACCGAAUAUACAGGGAAUCUUCAAAGCCUGCUAGCAGAGAUGAAUAAGGCUGAAGAAGCAAGUCCCUGGAGAGAAAGGAAGAGAUGAGAGAGACCCCCAAGUUGUGUGAUCACCUCCAGCACACUGGAGACUGAGCCGUUUCACAAGGUGUCAAACCUACAUUGCAGCCUGAAGGAUGUCUUCACUUCCUCCUGCUCCUUCGCCUUAAGAAAUUUCAAUAGGAAGAAUAAAAAAGGUUUUCAACAGCUCUCCACUGCUCUCAGGACAAAGUCCAAACUCCUCCUCACAGCAAGUAAGUUUUUGCGGUGUGGCCCCCUUGUGACUCUUCAGUUUCACAUUCUGCCUCACUUGGUGCACUCUCUCCUCCAGCUCCACUGAUGGCUGGCAGCUCCCUGUACAUGCCAUGCACCCCC